UUGAAAGGGAAACGAUUGAAGUCAGUCGUACCAGCGGGAAAUCAACCUUUCGAGUGGGGUUUUGGAGUUUUGAAGAGUGUCAAAACCUUUGAGAUUUCAAAAUUUUCGCUCCUUUGGUGUACUUUCUCGUGGGUAGGUUAACAUCGAUUUCGAUCAUCAUUAAAGGAUUGGAGGAAUGUAGCUUCGAUCUUGUAUUGAAGUGUUAUAGCCUUUGGUAAAUGUGAUGAUUGGGAUCGAGGAUUGCAACGAAUACCCUUUUGGGCUAUCCGCCUGAUCUCUGAUACGUGGCCUUGGCAUCGAAAGCUUGCUUAUGAUGUUAGGGUAUUACGGUCAAAAGGUUAGAACGGAUUACAUUCGUUAAGGAUGUUGACGUA
rnacentral:rRNA from 1 species